AGAUUUAGAUAGCAAUACAUCUAGUUGACAAUAUAAUACUAAUGAAGAACAUCAGAAUAGGGAGGGAGUCUGAUAAAUGGUUGCUUUUCUAGUUUUCCUGUAGUUGGUUCUAAUUAGUGCAAGCAACAUGUUUUGUGUGAUGAUUUCUUGAAAUAUGCUAUAACAAAGGGAUCAGGUAUCAAAACGCAAGGCAUUUAAAUCAAAAGCUGGUGAUUUGUUAACCGAUGAGCCAAACUAUCUAGUAUCAUUUGUUCAGACGAAGCAUAACCAUGAAUUACACCUUGAUAUGAUUGGUUUAUGGUUCUCAUAAGAGAGUAUCGACCACACUGAAAAGGGCUCCUGUGGCUAAUGAUAGAGUCCGUAUGUAAUGAACCUCAUGAUCAUUUUACUCGUAUUCAUGAAUUUCUGUUGUCGCUUUUCUAUAACUGUCCCAAGUUAUUUAUAAUUUGUUGGGACUGUUAAUUCGGUUUUCAGAUAGUUCCUUGGAGAAUUUUAGUAAUACAAAUAUAUUAUGGAAUAUUUAAUCCAAAUUGACAUUUAUUAAAAAUAUACUUUAUUUUUAGUUAUGAUAUAUCUAUGUUACUUUAUAAAAAGGUUUAUAACUUAAUAAUAUUUUAAACGGAGAUAGUAAAUCUAGAUUUGUUAAAAUAUUAUUAUUAUAUACUAGAUGUUUUAUUAGAAAUAAUUUCUAUUAAUUAUGAUAUAUUCAAAAUAUGAUAUUUAUUUUACCACGAACCUAUACAAUAACCAAGCAUAUACAUAACGGGAUCAAAUUUGAUAAUUUAUAUAUAUGUGUGUAUUUGUACGUUGCAUAUAUGUCACUUAGGUGCCAAGAUAUUUGUUAAGUAUCCAAAGGUAGACUAAUUGUCAACUAUGGGAUUAACUAAGAGUUAGUGGGUUAGGCAAUAAGCAAUAAGUUAGGUCAUUAUCUUAAAUUGUCGGCUACGACACCUAACACUUAUAUAUAUUUAGUUCAUUACGUAUAUAUAAAAAUAUAUAUAUAUAAAUAUAUAUAUAUAUAUAUAUAUAUAUAUAUAUAUAUAUAUUUGUACUUUUACAAUGAUAUGAUAUAUUGUUAUAUAUACAGAGCCUGUACAAAUUUAUUAAGAAUGGCUUUUACGAGAAAUCCACUGACCUAUAACUGGUCAUUGAGAGAGAAAUUAAUUAUUUACAAGUUGUUCAAGCUCGGGUUCUAGUGGAGCACUAUUUGGAUGCUUCUCGGAGAAGUUUUCAGCUUUGGCGUUUAGUUUGAGCUCGAUGUCUUUCGUAACAAUCCAUUGGUGUCGAUUCAAGCCCGAUGCGCAUUUGGAUUACUACUAUGAUUUGUUGGAAUUGGUUCAGGUACGGGUUAAUUAUAUUUAUUUUCUUUAAUUACCUAUUAAGUAUCCCACUGAUUAUGAGGUUACGGUUAGGUUAAUUGUCUUUUUCAGUGUGUCUGGCGGGCUUAUGGGGGCGCAGCCAGGUUAUGUUCGAUUUGCCUUUUAUUAGUGCGUUAUUUAUAUUUCUGUAUUGCUUUUACUUAUUACUUUAUCACACUUGCAUAGCUCGAUAGUUGUUUUACCUUCUAUCUUUAUUUACUAUUGACUUAGACUACACUCUCGCAUUUUAGUUAUAUUUUUUCUAUAUUGAGAUCAGUCAGUCGAUGAUGCCUACUUAAUGUACCUUGGUUACAUGGAACUUACGAUGCUUAAAAUGGUAAAAAAUAUGCUAAUACUUAGGACUUUUUGUUAUUUAUGAUGUGUGUUUUGUGUGUAUUACAGGUGAAUUAGGUUGGAGUGGUGUGGAUCAAAAAAGAAUGAAAAAACUCUGAAAAUAAUCAAAGUGUUGAAUGGACUAUGAGUCAUUUAGUCAUCUAACAACUCAUUGACCAAGUCAUGAUGACACCAGUGAGGGUUGCUAAUUGAAGGACCAAAGUUGAGGUUGACCACGACUCAUUAAGCAUGACAACGAGUCAUGGUGUGAAUCGUUUUGAGCAAGGAAGCAAAAGUCCUGAAGGUUAACAAGUUGAAGUCCCAAUGGAAACUUAUGAAGACUAUGAGUCGUUAGGACUGGUAAUGACUCAUAGUGAGAAGUGGUUCUGAGCAUAGAGAAAAAGUACUGAAAGUUGAAAUUCACUGGAGUGACAACGAGUCCCAACCAAUGACUUAUUAGGUCUAAUAACGAGUCAUUAUCACUGAGCAUAGGAGAGAGAAAUGAAGGCAGCUAACGAGUCGUUAUGAGUGCUGACAACUCAUUACCAAAAGCGUGACCACUAUCGACUUAGUUUCCCUAUUUUAUUUUGGUUAGAUUUUCUUUAUUAUUUUGAGAAACUAUAAAUACCCUUAAGGUACUCUUUUAUUAGGGUACACACUUUAUACUCUUACAAAUAUAUAUAGAUCUCAAGAUUGACUUUUAAGGUUGAAA